AUCGGAGACCUUCCGUAGGUGAACCUGCGGAGGGAUCAUUA
rnacentral:rRNA from 1 species